rnacentral:rRNA from 1 species
UACGGGGGGGGCAAGCGUUGUUCGGAAUUACUGGGCGUAAAGGGUUUGUAGGUGGCUUGUUAAGUCAGACGUGAAAUCCCUCAGCUUAACUGGGGAACUGCGUCUGAUACUGGAUGGCUUGGAUUUGGGAGAGGGAUGCGGAAUUCCAGGUGUAGCGGUGAAAUGCGUAGAUAUCUGGAGGAACACCGGUGGCGAAGGCGGCAUCCUGGACCAAUAUUGACGCUGAGGAGCGAAAGCCAGGGGAGCAAACGGG